rnacentral:sRNA from 1 species
UGACGCCGAAGACGGCAACGACGACGAC